rnacentral:rRNA from 1 species
UACGGAGGGUGCAAGCGUUGUUCGGAAUUAUUGGGCGUAAAGGGCAGGUAGGUGGUCUUGUAAGUCUGCUGUGAAAUCCCCGAGCUUAACUCGGGAAGUGCGGCGGAUACUGCAAGACUAGAGUGCCGGAGGGGUGCGUGGAAUUCCCGGUGUAGCGGUGAAAUGCGUAGAUAUCGGGAGGAACAUCAGAGGCGAAGGCGGCGCACUAGACGGCAACUGACACUCAACUGCGAAAGCGUGGGGAGCAAACAGG